rnacentral:misc_RNA from 1 species
ACCUACUGUUUAAUUUUGAGGGUUCGUUUUUACGAAUACUCAAAAUUAGCACUUUUAGCAACAGAAUAAACUGAACGCAUGUGAAGUUUGUUUGUUGGCGACGUGCUUUAGUACUUUGAAAACUGCAUAUAUAUUUAGUGAUAUGACAUCUAAUUUGUAAUAUAUAAAGCUGAUAACUUUUUAAAAUUAUCGAAGUUGAUAGCUUCUAAUCUAUCAAACCUUUUUAACUGGUCAA